GCUGAAUCAGAAUCAAAUUCGUCAUCUUUGUAGGAGGGCAGAUCAAACAGACCAAGAUCAUCAUCAUUUACUUGCAAUGCCUGAUACUGGACCCUUUCAAGAGCAAACAAAGAGGAAAUCAUUUUCUUAGUCAAUGGAAUAAUGCAGCAAAUGGCAAUCAGACAAAAA